rnacentral:rRNA from 1 species
UGAGGAAUAUUGGUCAAUGGGCGCAGGCCUGAACCAGCCAAGUAGCGUGAAGGAUGACUGCCCUAUGGGUUGUAAACUUCUUUUAUAAAGGAAUAAAGUCGGGUAUGUAUACCCGUUUGCAUGUACUUUAUGAAUAAGGAUCGGCUAACUCCGUGCCAGCAGCCGCGGUAAUACGGAGGAUCCGAGCGUUAUCCGGAUUUAUUGGGUUUAAAGGGAGCGUAGAUGGAUGUUUAAGUCAGUUGUGAAAGUUUGCGGCUCAACCGUAAAAUUGCAGUUGAUACUGGAUAUCUUGAGUGCAGUUGAGGCAGGCGGAAUUCGUGGUGUAGCGGUGAAAUGCUUAGAUAUCACGAAGAACUCCGAUUGCGAAGGCAGCCUGCUAAGCUGCAACUGACAUUGAGGCUCGAAAGUGUGGGUAUCAAACAGGAUUAGAUACCCUGGUAGUCCACACGGUAAACGAUGAAUACUCGCUGUUUGCGAUAUACUGCAAGCGGCCAAGCGAAAGCGUUAAGUAUUCCACCUGGGGAGUACGCCGGCAACGGUGAAACUCAAAGGAAUUGACGGGGGCCCGCACAAGCGGAGGAACAUGUGGUUUAAUUCGAUGAUACGCGAGGAACCUUACCCGGGCUUAAAUUGCAGAUGAAUUACGGUGAAAGCCGUAAGCCGCAAGGCAUCUGUGAAGGUGCUGCAUGGUUGUCGUCAGCUCGUGCCGUGAGGUGUCGGCUUAAGUGCCAUAACGAGCGCAACCCUUGUUGUCAGUUACUAACAGGUUCCGCUGAGGACUCUGACAAGACUGCCAUCGUAAGAUGUGAGGAAGGUGGGGAUGACGUCAAAUCAGCACGGCCCUUACGUCCGGGGCUACACACGUGUUACAAUGGGGGGUACAGAGGGCCGCUACCACACGAGUGGAUGCCAAUCCCCAAAACCUCUCUCAGUUCGGACUGGAGUCUGCAACCCGACUCCACGAAGCUGGAUUCGCUAGUAAUCGCGCAUCAGCCACGGCGCGGUGAAUACGUUCCC